UACGUAGGGGGCGAGCGUUGUCCGGAUUUAUUGGGCGUAAAGAGCUCGUAGGCGGUUCGGCAAGUCGGGUGUGAAAUUUCGAGGCUCAACCUCGAAACGCCACUCGAUACUGCUGUGCCUGGAGUCCGGUAGAGGAGUGCGGAAUUCCUGGUGUAGCGGUGAAAUGCGCAGAUAUCAGGAGGAACACCAGCGGCGAAGGCAGCACUCUGGGCCGGUACUGACGCUGAGGAGCGAAAGCGUGGGGAGCAAACAGG
rnacentral:rRNA from 1 species